rnacentral:rRNA from 1 species
UCGACCGAUAGUGAACCAGUACCGUGAGGGAAAGGCGAAAAGAACCCCGGGAGGGGAGUGAAAUAGAUUCUGAAACCGCAUACAUACAAACAGUAGGAGCCUCGAUAAGGGGUGACUGCGUACCUUUUGCAUAAUGGGUCAGCGACUUACGUUCAGUAGCGAGCUUAACCGAGUAGGGGAGGCGUAGCGAAAGCGAGUUCGAAUAGAGCGAGUAGUUGCUGGGCGUAGACCCGAAACCGGAUGAUCUAUCCAUGACCAGGUUGAAGUUGUGGUAACACACAAUGGAGGACCGAACCGACUAGUGUUGCAAAAUUAGCGGAUGAGUUGUGGAUAGGGGUGAAAGGCUAAACAAAUCCGGAGAUAGCUGGUUCUCCCCGAAAACUAUUGAGGUAGUGCCUCGCGUAUCACUCCAGGGGGUAGAGCACUGUUAUGGCUAGGGGGACAUGGCGUCUUACCAAACCAUGGCAAACUCCGAAUACUUGGAAGUGCCAGCGCGGGAGACAGAGCACCGGGUGCUAACGUCCGGACUCAAAAGGGAAACAACCCAGACCGCCGGCUAAGGUCCCAAAUAUUUGCUAAGUGGAAAACGAAGUGGAAAGGCUAAGACAGUCAGGAAGUUGGCUUAGAAGCAGCCAUCCUUUAAAGAAAGCGUAAUAGCUCACUGAUCGAGUCUUUCUGCGCGGAAGAUGUAACGGGGCUAAGCAAGUAACCGAAGCCGCGGAUUCACACGUAGUUGUGAGUGGUAGGGGAGCGUUCUGUAAGCCUGCGAAGGUGUGUUGAGAAGCAUGCUGGAGGUAUCAGAAGUGCGAAUGCUGACAUAAGUAACGAUAAAGCGGGUGAAAAGCCCGCUCGCCGGAAGACCAAGGGUUCCUGUCCAACGUUAAUCGGGGCAGGGUGAGUCGACCCCUAAGGCGAGGCCGAAAGGCGUAGUCGAUGGGAAACAGGUUAAUAUUCCUGUACUUGGUGUUACUGCGAAGGGGGGACGGAGAAGGCUAUGUUGGCCGGGCGACGGUUGUCCCGGUUUAAGCAUGUAGGCUGGUUAUCCAGGCAAAUCCGGAUAAUCAAGGCUGAGGUGUGAUGACGAGGCACUACGGUGCUGAAGUAACAAAUGCCCUGCUUCCAGGAAAAGCCUCUAAGCAUCAGGUAACAUCAAAUCGUACCCCAAACCGACACAGGUGGUCAGGUAGAGAAUACCAAGGCGCUUGAGAGAACUCGGGUGAAGGAACUAGGCAAAAUGGUGCCGUAACUUCGGGAGAAGGCACGCUGAUAUGUAGGUGAGGUCCCUCGCGGAUGGAGCUGAAAUCAGUCGAAGAUACCAGCUGGCUGCAACUGUUUAUUAAAAACACAGCACUGUGCAAACACGAAAGUGGACGUAUACGGUGUGACGCCUGCCCGGUGCCGGAAGGUUAAUUGAUGGGGUUAUCCGUAAGGAGAAGCUCUUGAUCGAAGCCCCGGUAAACGGCGGCCGUAACUAUAACGGUCCUAAGGUAGCGAAAUUCCUUGUCGGGUAAGUUCCGACCUG